rnacentral:lncRNA from 1 species
GUGCAACGUGAUGCUCACGUCUGGGGCUGGGUGCAGCCUCACUGCAGCUGAUGCAGGGGAUGAUGCAUGGGGGGCUGCAGUGCUGGGAGGUGCAACGUGAUGCAUUGGGGGCUGCAGUGCUGGGAGGUGCAAGGUGAUGCAUUGGGGGUUGCUUUGCUUGGAAGUGCAGAGCUGGGCCUGGAUGCUGGAACACGGAGUUGCAAGGGCUGCUCCUUUUGCUCUGCAUUCCCGUUUGUUCCUUCUGCAUUCCCAUGUGUUGCAAUGACUUUGCGUUGUUUGCUCUGUUCUUGGGGUUGCAAGGGCUGUUUGUUUUGCUCUGCACUAUCAUUUGUUGUUGCAAUGACUUUGCGUUGUUUGCUCUGUUCCUUUUGCUCUGCACUCCCAUUAUUUGUUGGGAUGAGUUUGUUUGCAUUGUUUGCUCUGUUCUUGGAACUGCAAGGGCUGCUCCCUUUGCUCUGCACUCCCAUGUGUUGCAAUGACUUUGCAUUGUUUGCUCUGCUCCUUCUGCUCUGCACUCCACGUGUUGGGAUGAGUUUGAUUGCAUUGUUUGCUUUGUUCUUGGGGUUGUUUGCUCUGCUCCCUUUGCUCUGCACUCCCAUGUGUUGGUAUGGGUUUGACUGCAUUGUUUGCUCUGUUCCUUCUGCAUUCCCAU